CACACACACGUACAUAGACAAGUAAGCGCACAAACAUAGACACGCACACACACACACACGCACAGUGAGAGCACACAUUUAAGAUAAAGGAGAGAGAAGCACAGGUCAAAUAUAACAGACUAUAAAUUCCUAUAUGCAAUAUUAAUUAAGUAAAACUUUAAAAUUCUAAAGUUUAAAGAGGAUGAAAGUCAUCCUCGUCUCCUUCCGACCGCAAUUCAGGUUUACAAGCCAAGUUUUCCUCUGUUUCUCAGUCAAUACUCACAUUUCCCCCUCCAUGAACAUCCACUUUUGCUACACAAUAAAAACACAUUUUGGUUUAAUCAAUUUAAACAAUCAAAAACAACGCAAAACAUAGGUAUUUUGAAUUUGUGAUAGGAUUCAAAUCAAAUUAUUUAAUACAUGUGUAAUACAUAAGGGAGAUAAAUAUGAUUAGAUAAACUGUAGGCCUUUCAUAACGCGACAGCGUUGUGGGUCCGUGGGCGGCUAUAGACUACACCUCUACCACCGGCGAUAAUGGUACGAUCCCGCUGCAAGCAAGCACAUAAAUGUAAAAUUAGAAAAACAGGUAAUUUUUGUGUUUGUUCGAAAAUCACAAAUUCUGAAGCAAUUACUCAAACACGUAUAAUUACAAAUGAAACUGAGAGACUUCAUUGGUACUUCACAAAUUAUCCAUUUGUGAAGUACUAAUGAAAAUUGAAAAAGAAAGUUUGAAACCAAUUUUCAUUUGAUUAAUUUUGAUGGUGAAAAUUGAAAAAAGAACUGCAAAGCGUUACACGGACCCUCCUCCCACCAAGUUUCCAAAUAAGGAUAUGAAUCCGACCAGAUGCGUCCUGUUUAUAACCUCAUCUCGAUAUUGAAUGUUUUAUUUCCGACGUAAAACGUUCCGAUGUACCGACCGAAUUAAUAGUGAAUGUUGAUUCAACAUCAAAAAUUGAUUUACCACUAAUAUGCCUUUCUAACCGACUUAACAAAAGCCAAUUUUCAAUGUCGUUUUUGGGACAAAUUUGGACCAAAUUUAGACGGACCAAAAAAAGACCAAUUUUCGACGUCGAUUUUUGGGCUAAAAAACGCCCAGUACAGGCCGACUUGAUUUAGCCCAAAAAAAGACGUCCAAAUGACGUCUGGUGCUGGGUGGGAAAGGGGUUGCAAUGCUCCAAAAUUAUGUAACAUUAAAUAAUAUUAUAUUCUGUUUAAUAUUUUUAGACUAUAUACUGUAUUAUUUCCUUGUUGAUGUAGGAAUUAAUUCUAGGAUUUUCUAUGAUUUUGUAUUUGAAUAGCCGUUGAUACAAUAUAAACUAUAAUGGAAAAUAAUUCUCUUAUUUCAGGUAUUACUAAUAAAUGCCACUCUUGUUGAUGAUUUUCUUUGCAUGUUUGCCCUUAACAGAUUAUUCAGCCUGUGUUGAUUCACAAGCUUGACAGAUGCUGAUUUGGAUGACAAAGUAAUGAUCAAUACUGAGUCUGCUUGUUGAGGGGCUACAUACUUAAACAAAGGAGUUUUUUUUGGCAAAACAGGCUACUUGGACCAACCUGCCCUGAUACACACCAAGCUAUAUACUCUUGACUGCAUAGGUGGAUAGGGUUGAUAAUUUGGGAGCUCCUUCAAAUUUAAUCAUGAGGAAGCAUUCAAGCUUCAGUCGGUGCAGUAGGAACUGGAGGCUGUGGAGAAGCAGGCACGGCUGCGAGAACGUAAAACAGCGCUGGAAACAUCCCGGGCUGACGCUCACAAAUCCGUGGUUCCCAAAGACACCAGAGGUCGUCAGUCCGAGCACCGGUUCUGUUCUGAUGCUCCUCCCAGUCCAGCCAGACGCUUACGAUGAUGGGCAAUCCACCUGAUGACAACUACAGCCACAACCUAGGAUCCUGAGAGCACCAGAAGUCGUCAGUCUGAGCGCCGGUUCUGUCCUUAUGCUCUUCCCAGUCCAGCCAGACGCUCGUGAUGAUGGUCAAUCUACCUGAUGACAUCUACAGCCACAACCAGAAUAAUGUUGGACAGACCUAAAUAUCUUUUUUUUCUAUCCACCACGGCUAUUUCUGUAGAAUCUUACAAGAAUUGUUCUCUCUGUAGUUGCAGCAGUGCUAUUUUAAUAUUCCAGAGAAGAACUGUCUCUUCCAGACUCAAUUUAGGGUUUUUUUGUCCACUCUGACACACAUACAUCUAUGGUGGAGUUUUGAUUCCUAGCCACCGUUGCCACUUGAGUUGCUUACUCACUAGGAGACUUAGAUUUUGCUUUUGUUUAAUCCAUAAAUAUAAAUGACUUGAGUUCAACAACAAACAUGCAUGUUAACAUACUUGAAAAAAAAUAUUCUUUCUGCAUGUUUUGGUAUUGUUGCAAAUUGUUCUGGUAUAUUGUAAUUUUAGGUUCUCAAUCCUCAUAACAAUAUUUAAAGUAAUAAUAUACCUAGAUUAAAUUCUUCAAUUGAAUUAUUGACAUUUUCUGACAAUCAUAGCAUUUAUUUCAGUUAAGUUUAAUCAGUGUACAUUGCAUAGAGAAAAACUUACAAUAAUACCAUGUAUCUUAAUACAAUAUACUCUCUUUAAUUCCCCCCUAGUAUUUUCAUUAAGUUUUUAAUUAUGAUGUAUGUAAAGCUGCUUUGCAACAAUGUAAAUUGUGAAAAGCACUAUAUAAAUAAAAUUGAAUAUUUUGCAGGUAAACAUGUACUUGAAUUUUUAGCUCAUUGGUUAGGCACACUUAUAUUCAUAGUUUAAAAGUAUUUGUAUAAUAUAUAUGUAUAGAUAUGUGUCAUCUUAUUUGCUAAAUGUGUAAGUCAGGGAUCUCCAACCUUGCUCCUGGAGAGCUACGGUCCUGCAGACUUCAGCUCCAACCCGCUUCAGCACACCUGUCUGUAAUUGUCAAACAACCCUGAACACCUUGGUAAGAUGGUUAAGGUGUGUUUGAUUGGGGUCGGAACUGAAAUCUUCUGGAGCUCUUCAGGGGUUGGAGACCACUGGUAUAAGUUAUGUUAAAUAUGCAACAUUGUGGUCAUGUGAGACAUUUGAUUCCUUUGUAUGUCCCACAUAUAACAGAAUGACAAUAAAACUGAGCUGACUUGAAAGUGCACACUCUGUACUUUUCAUACUUAAAGAAAUAAAGGUGGCCUCAAACAUAUUAUUCCCCACCAGUUUUCACCUGUUAACCUGAAUCAAACACAU